rnacentral:misc_RNA from 1 species
AGGACACCAGAAGGUUGGCCAAUAAUAACUUUCCCUGACAUAGGUUUGUUCUGCAAUCUUUAUGAUGAAGAUUAUAGAAAGUUGAUGCUGUAUUUAACUGCUGUUCCAUCGAUGCAAGAUGCAGACCUUGGUUUUGCACUGAUUGUAGACAGAAGGAAUGAUAAAUGGAGUGCUGUGAAGACAAUAUUACUCAGGAUUUCUGGCUUUUUUCCUGGACUUAUUCAGAUUGUUUUUGUACUUCGGCCUGUGGGGUUUUUUCAAAAAGCAAUUUCAGAAGUCAGUCACAAAUUUUUCAAGGAAGAAUUCAAAUUUAAGCUUAUAGUGUGUAGUACAGUGGAUGAACUACAUGAACAUCUUGAUCCAAGUCAACUGACACAAGAUCUAGGUGGAACUAUUUCCUACAGCCAUGAUGAGUGGAUAGAGCAAAGGAUGGUGGUGGAAAAAUUCUCAGCUAACUUGCAAGAAAUAUCUUUGGCUCUCAGGGGUAUGACACAAAAGUUACAAGAAACUGAGCUGCCUAAUGAUGUUAGUUCAACUUUAAGUUUAUUGAAAAACCAAGAAACAGAAUAUAAGGAACUAAAAGAUGAGUUGCGCAGUGCAGCCAGGCAUGGAGAAACAUUGUUGAAUUGUAUAAGACGACCAUCAAGUGAAACUGCAUCUUUAGAAAUGUGUCCUGAUAAACUUAUAAACGUUACAGCAGUAGAAAGGCUACUAGUCCAGCUAGAUGAAACAGAAAAAGGUUUUGACAAUUUUUGGAGUGAACAUGAAAAUAAAUUGAGCCAAUUUUUGGAACUUCGGAAGUUUGAACAUGAGUUUAAAGAGCUUCAGGCAAAUGUCACAACCAAUCUUCAAGAAUUGGCAAGCUUGCCAGAGUCAGGAGAUUCGGUUUCACAGAUUGACUUUCUGAUUGAACAACUAGAGAAGUUUAGGCUACAGACCAAGAAUGAUUUUGACAGAAUGAAAGAGAUUCAAGAAAUGGGUAAGAGCCUAAUCAUGUCCAAACAUUAUGCCGUUGACUGUGUAUCACCCAAAUGUCUGGAACUGGAGCGAAUGUUUAGUGACUUCAAACAGAAACUUGAUCAAAGAUACCAGCUUCUUCACAAACACAGAGAUUUGCAAGAACGAAUAGAAAAAGCCAAUAAAUGGUGCACUGACGGGGUAGACCUCUUAGCUAAUCUUCAGAUUGAGAAAUGUUCAUCUCCUGAGUUUGCUCUGGUAGCUCUUGAAGAAUUAGACUUAUUUCUGAAAAGAUCUCAAGAGCUUCAGUUAAGCAGUCCAAGGGAAUUCCACAAUAUAUUUAAGGAUAUGAUUACACCAGAGAUUAAAUCUUUGGUGCAUCAGGUACUUCAGAGAAUUGAAGAUGUUCAGGUGAUGUGUGAAAAGCAGAAGAAUAACCUUCAAAAACUUGUUUCCCGUUCUUCCCGCCCAGUCCAGGCUGUAAUACCUGAACCAGCAGUGCCUCUUUCCUUGCCCUCCGUUGGUAGUUCUUGUAGUAUUUUCCAGCGUGGUAGUAAAUCUCCAGACAAUGAACUACGUUCUUUCAGAAGAGGAAAGACAGGAUCUAAGAUGCAUAUUGAGGUACGGCUAGGAGAAUUUAGCAGCAUUUUACCUUCAUUGCAGGAGAACUGUUCACUAGAACCUCAUUCUCCCAGUCCAUGUAGUCAACAGGACAUGAAGAACCACAAAAGAGGUCAUGUCAUGACAGAAUUGAUUGAAACAGAAAAAACUUACGUCUCAGAACUCAGCAGUAUAAUUCAGGGAUACAAAAAAGAAAUGGACAACCCAGCAAUGAAAGACUGCAUACCAGGAUCUCUUCUCGGAAAAUCUGAUGUACUUUUUGGAAAUAUGAUGGAAAUCUACAAUUUUCAUAACAAUGUAUUCUUGAUGGACCUUCAGAAUUGCAGCAGCACUCCUGAAUUGGUUGGUCGUUGUUUUGUUCAGAGGAGAGACUUUUUACACAAGCUUUACAGUACAUACUGCAUGAAUAAACCCAAAUCUGAAGCUUUAAGGAGACAGUGUGGGGAUGAUAAUUUGUUUUUUAAGGAAUGUCAGAAAAAACUGGAACAUAAACUCCCCCUGGGGGCAUAUUUAUUAAAACCUGUUCAGAGAAUAACUAAAUACCAAUUACUUAUUAAGGAUUUGCUGAAGUACACCGAUGAAAAAGCAGCACAAGAAGAACUCCAAGAAGCUCUUGACACAAUGUUAAGUGUCCUCAAGUAUGUAAAUGAUAGUAUGCAUCAGGUGGCCAUUACUGGAUUUCAUGGAAGCCUUGCUGAUUAUGGAAAAUUGUUAUUACAAGGACCUUUUAGUGUUUGGAUGGAAGGAAAGAAGGACAGAAUUAGAGAUCUUCGUUUUAAAUCCCAACAACGUUUUAUCUUUUUGUAUGAGCAGCUUAUUCUUCUUACCAAGAAAUGUGGACCUGAUGAAAACCCAACAUAUGCAUUCAAAAAUGCCUUAAAGACCUCUCAGAUUGGUUUAACAGAAACUCUCAAGGGUUCCCGAGGAGACAGCAGGAAGUUUGAGGUCUGGUUACAUGGGAGAACACAAGUUUUUAUUAUUCAGUAAAUUCAGAGCUCUAAGUAUACAGUUACUUAACAUUAUAGAAAGUGAAGUCUACUAGUCUUAACAAACAAAGAUGAAAAGCAUCUGUCUGACUGGAACAUUAAUUGAAGGCUCCAACUGUGGAAGUUAAAAACACGUGGGUGAAGGCCAUCAAGAAAGUAUUGUUGCAACAGUUUGAAGAUCUAAAAG